rnacentral:lncRNA from 1 species
AAACUCGGAAUGAAAUUUGAAUAAACAACUUGAAUCUUGAAGUUUUGCAGAAAAUAAAUCUAAUCUAUAAAAAAAUAAAGUCUAAAGCUAAAACUAAAAAUAAUAAAAAGGUGAAGAAGAGAGGUGAAGAGGAGUGUCUAAGGUAAUUUUUUUUUUGAAUUAGAAUUACAAGAUGUAUUUGAAUAUAAUUAAUUAUGCAACCCGCACGCAGAUGAGACCUCAACACCACACAACUGUGGGAAAACUACACCGCACGCAAGCAGAAAGACAGCACCACUUAAAAGUGAAAAAAUAUCACCGCACGCAAGCGGGAUUGAACCCAAGACUUCUCACAAAUGAGAAUCUUUGGGUGCAUCAGCUUUGCCACUAGAGCAAGGUCUCAUUAGCAAUGAAUAGUAGUGUCUAAUAGGUUAAGAAAAUGACCUAUAUAUAGGCACAUAGGAUAAAUACAGUACAGAACUCGAAAAUACAAAUAAAAGUCUAAAAUCAGCAAAAACGCGGAGAAAACAGAGAAAUCGGCUACCGGAUUGACGAUCGCUGAAAUGGUCGCUGUUUUGCGCACGACGUUUUUGUUUCGGUCAUAUUUCUCUUGUCUGAACUAUGAUUUGCGAUCCGUUUGCGCCCAUGAAUUCGUAUCGAGAUGAUUUACAACGUUCUUGAGGUCAUGCUUCCAAAUUCAGCCUUCCAAUUUCAAUAAAAUGCCUCAAAGUUCAAGCAAGUAUCAUACUCCCUCC